UCCAGAGGGUGCAAGCGUUAAUCGGAAUUACUGGGCGUAAAGCGUGCGUAGACGGUUAUUUAAGUCGGGUGUGAAAGCCCCGGGCUCAACCUGGGAAUUGCAUUCGAGACUGAAUAGCUAGGGUGCGGAAGAGGGAAGCGGAAUUUCCGGUGUAGCGGUGAAAUGCGUAGAUAUCGGAAGGAACACCAGUGGCGAAAGCGGCUUCCUGGUCCAGCACCGACGUUCAGGCACGAAAGCGUGGGGAGCAAACAGG
rnacentral:rRNA from 1 species